UACGUAGGGGGCAAGCGUUGUCCGGAAUCAUUAGGCGUAAAGCGCGCGUAGGCGGCCCUGUAAGUCCGUUGUGAAAGUCAAAGGCUCAACCUUUGAAAGCCGAUGGAUACUGCAGGGCUAGAGUCCGGAAGAGGCGAGUGGAAUUCCUGGUGUAGCGGUGGAAUGCGCAGAUAUCAGGAGGAACACCGGUGGCGAAGGCGGUUCUCUGGGCCUUACCUGACGCUGAGGAGCGAAAGCGUGGGGAGCGAACAGG
rnacentral:rRNA from 1 species